rnacentral:rRNA from 1 species
UAGCUACAGGCUUAACACAUGCAAGUCGAGGGGCAUCAUGAAGAAAGCUUGCUUUCUUUGCUGGCGACCGGCGCACGGGUGAGUAACACGUAUCCAACCUGCCCUUUACUCGGGGAUAGCCUUUCGAAAGAAAGAUUAAUACCCGAUGGCAUAAUGAUUCCGCAUGGUUUCAUUGUUAAAGGAUUCCGGUAAAGGAUGGGGAUGCGUUCCAUUAGGUUGUUGGUGAGGUAACGGCUCACCACCCCUUCGAUGGAUAGGGGUUCUGAUAAGAAGGUCCCCCACAUUGGAACUGAUACACGGCCCAAACUCCUACGGGAGGCAGCAGUGAGGAAUAUUGGUCAAUGGGCGCUAACCUGAACCAGUCAAGUAGCGUGAAGGAUGAAGGCUCUAUGGGUCGUAAACUUCUUUUAUAUAAAAAUAAAGUGCACUAUGUAUACUGUUUUGUAUGUAUUAUAUGAAUAAGGAUCGGCUAACUCCGUGCCACCAGCCGCGGUAAUACGGAGGAUCCGAGCGUUAUCCGGAUUUAUUGGUUUUAAAGGGAGCGUAGGUGGACUGGUAAGUCAGUUGUGAAAGUUUGCGGCUCAACCGUAAAAUUGCAGUUGAUACUGUCAGACUUGAGUACAGUAGAGGAGGGCGGAAUUCGUGGUGUAGCGGUGAAAUGCUUAGAUAUCACGAAGAACUCCGAUUGCGAAGGCAGCUCACUGGACUGCAACUGACACUGAUGCUCGAAAGUGUGGGUAUCAAACAGGAUUAGAUACCCUGGUAGUCCACACAGUAAACGAUGAAUACUCGCUGUUUGCGAUAUACAGUAAGCGGCCAAGCGAAAGCAUUAAGUAUUCCACCUGGGGAGUACGCCGGCAACGGUGAAACUCAAAGGAAUUGACGGGGGCCCGCACAAGCGGAGGAACAUGUGGUUUAAUUCGAUGAUACGCGAGGAACCUUACCCGGGCUUAAAUUGCAGUGGAAUGAUGUGGAAACAUGUCAGUGAGCAAUCGCGGGUGUGAAGGUGCUGCAUGGUUGUCGUCAGCUCGUGCCGUGAGGUGUCGGCUUAAGUGCCAUAACGAGCGCAACCCUUAUCUUUAGUUACUAACAGGUUAUGCUGAGGACUCUAGAGAGACUGCCGUCGUAAGAUGUGAGGAAGGUGGGGAUGACGUCAAAUCAGCACGGCCCUUACGUCCGGGGCUACACACGUGUUACAAUGGGGGGUACAGAAGGCAGCUAGCGGGUGACCGUAUGCUAAUCCCAAAAGCCUCUCUCAGUUCGGAUUGAAGUCUGCAACCCGACUUCGUGAAGCUGGAUUCGCUAGUAAUCGCGCAUCAGCCACGGCGCGGUGAAUACGUUCCCGGGCCUUGUACACACCGCCCGUCAAGCCAUGGGAGCCGGGGGUACCUGAAGUACGUAACCGCAAGGAUCGUCCUAGGGUAAAACUGGUGACUGGGGCUAAGUC